GUUCCCCACAUUGUUCUCCCUGCCAAGGUGAACAGUCGACUAAGAGGAGCUGAAUAAGGAUAACUCCGUUAACAGACCACAUACCCUGUUGGCUUGCAGGAUGCUGGAUAUUUCAACACUGUUAACAUGUCUGUUUUUUCCUUCAUGAAUGGCUUUCUCAGAAGCUUGCUGUUUGCACAAAAAUCUGAAAUAAAAAUCGAAUCUGGUCACAAGGGCAAAAGACGUUAACAAGAGAUACAGCCGUCCGGAGCCUUUGUCAUUUUAUAUAACUGUAUAUAUACUUGUCUUUUAUAAAGAUAGCUUCCCUAUUUUUAUUUCACCAAUAGAAAUCCAUCUCAAAAAAUAAUCUCCCAAGCUCAUUAAAAAUAAUAUUAGUUGUUCGAGCUUU
rnacentral:lncRNA from 1 species